rnacentral:rRNA from 1 species
GAUGAACGCUAGCGGCAGGCCUAAUACAUGCAAGUCGAACGGUGUCUUCGGACAUAGUGGCGCACGGGUGCGUAACACGUAUGCAACCUACCUUACAUUGGGGGAUAGCCUUUCGAAAGGGAGAUUAAUACCGCAUAAGACAGUAGCUGGGCAUCCAGCAGCUGUUAAAGAUUUAUCGAUGUAAGCUGGGCAUGCGUCCAAUUAGCUAGUUGGUGAGGUAACGGCUCACCAAGGCAAUGAUUGGUAGGGGAACUGAGAGGUCAAUCCCCCACACUGACACUGGGCUACGGGCCAGACUCCUACGGGAGGCAGCAGUAGGGAAUAUUGGGCAAUGGACGCAAGUCUGACCCAGUCAUGCCGCGUGCAGGAUGAAGGCGUUAUGCGUUGUAAACUGCUUUUAUACAGGAAGAAACGACUCUUGCGAGAGGCAUUGACGGUACUGUAUGAAUAAGCACCGGCUAACUCCGUGCCAGCCGCCGCCGUAACAC